rnacentral:rRNA from 1 species
CGUGUAGGCGGUCAGGUAAGUGGGAUGUGAAAUCCCUCGGCUCACCCGAGGACCUGCAUCCCAAACUGCUUGGCUUGAGUAUGGGAGAGGAUGAGGGAAUUCCUGGUGUAGCGGUGAAAUGCGUAGAUAUCAGGAGGAACACCGGUGGCGAAAGCGCUCAUCUGGCCCAAUACUGACGCUGAGGCGCGAAAGCUAGGGAGCAAACG